rnacentral:rRNA from 1 species
GGAUGCAGUCAUAUAUACCAACACUAAUGUACCGUAUCCCAUUAGAUUUACAAAGUUAUUUAGUGUAUCGAGAAUAGUACUAGAGUGGAGUGACCUCCAGAGAAAUUCUCGUGUUGCAUUCC